GGGGGCGAAAUGGUUUCGACUGUUUAGGUAGAACCCAGGUUGCAUGCGGAGGAUGAUCGUUGGCCUCCUUAAUCAUCGGUCAAAAAAGUAACUGCGAACAACGAACUCGCAAUCGCUGCUUGACGGCGACGUCUCCACUUCUACGCCUGAUAAAAGUCGGAGGCGCAAACAUCAGGCUGGCGAAAAAGCCCGGGUGAGCGGGGCCUUUUCGUAAGAACCCAACAGCAAACUGCUUCCGGUGCCGAUCAGGGCGGCGUCAAAGCAUCGGAAUAAGACCUAAGACCGCCCUAAGCAUGUAGAAGCCUCGGUGAAGUCUCUGCAGGACCCGGGUUCAACUCCCGGCGCCUCCACCA
rnacentral:tmRNA from 1 species